CCUACGGGAGGCAGCAGUGAGGAAUAUUGGGCAAUGGGCGCGAGCCUGAACCAGCCAAGUAGCGUGAAGGAUGACUGCCCUACGGGUUGUAAACUUCUUUUAUAAAGGAAUGAAGUGAGGCAUGUGUGCCUUUUUGUAUGUACUUUAUUAAUUAGCAUCGGCUAACGCCGUGCAAGGAGCCGCGGUAAUACGGAGGUUCCCAGCGUUAUCCGGAUUUAUUGGGUGUAAAGGGAGCGUAGUUGGGUUGUUAAGUCAGUUGUGAAAGUUUGCGGCUCAACCGUAAAAUUGCAAUUGAUACUGGCAGCCUUGAGUACAGUAGAGGUAGGCGGAAUUCGUAGUGUAGCGGUGAAAUGCUUAGAUAUCACGAAGAACUCCGAUUGCGAAGGCAGCUUACUAGACUGCAACUGACAUUGAUGCUAGAAAGUGUGGGUAUCAAACAGGAUUAGAUACCCUUGUAGUC
rnacentral:rRNA from 1 species